AGCUUUGCACAGUGGCAGUAUCAUAACCAAUGAAGUGACUGAGGUGUGAUUAUUGCUACUUUGAAAAUCUGCCUCCUCUCCCCUUCCUGGUGGUAGAUGGUGCAGUGUGGUAAUCUAG
rnacentral:snRNA from 1 species